rnacentral:sRNA from 1 species
UCUGUGAAUGGUGCUCCGGAAAGGAUA